GACGAACGCUGACGGUGUGCUUUAGACAUGCAAGUCGAACGCGAAAGCCCUUCGGGUUAGUAGAGUGGCGAACGGGUGAGUAACACGUGGGCAAUCUGCCCCUCGCAGGGGGACAACCGGAGGAAACUCCGGCUAAUACCCCGUACGCUUGCUGGACCGCAUGGUCCGGCAAGGAAAGGUAGCUUCGGCCAUCCGGCGAGGGAUGAGCCCGCGGUGCAUUAGCUAGUUGGUGAGGUAACGGCUCACCAAGGCAACGAUGCAUAGCUGGUCUGAGAGGGAUGAUCAGCCACACUGGGACUGAGACACGGCCCAGACUCCUACGGAGGCAGCAGUCGGGAAUCUUGCGCAAUGGGCGAAAGCCUGACGCAGCAACACCGUGUGAGCGACGAAGGCCUU
rnacentral:rRNA from 1 species